UUCCCACAAUUCGCACCCCAGCGGCAGGCCAUUUCUGUUUGCGUGGGGAGUGCGAGCUGAGCGACCGAGGAAGAGAGAGCGAGAAGAAGAGAAGGAGAAGGAGUGGACGAGAGCGAGAGAGUUCAAGUAUUUUCUCUCCGGCAUCGUCACAGCGUCGUCCCCUUUCGAUUCCGAGCGAGUUCAGGGCAGAAUUGUUAUUGACUUCGGCACAUCUCUGUGUACGGAGACUGUGAAUGGCGGCGCCUUCCUCUGGGUGAAGGUGCUUGUUGCUGCUUAAAUCUCUGUUACGAAUGGCCAGCAAUUCACAGUUUUCUGGGGUACAGCCCCUUAGGCCUGCAGUGGUCAGGUCCGCAGUUCCACCUCAAAAUUUUGGUCCACCAAUGCCUAUGCAGUUUGGACAUGUGGUUCCAGCUCAACAAACACAUCAGUUCAUCCCAGCAGCCUCUCAGCAAUUCCGACCUGUUGGGCAAGGUGUUCAUGGUACAAAUAUUGGAAUGCCUUCUGAUCAAACUCAAAUGCCCCAUUUUUCUCAACCUGCACACCAUUUACCUCCAAGAUCAGGCCCAGCAGCACCACCAUCUUCACAAGCAGUUCCAAUGCCAUAUGUUCAGCCAAACAGGCCUAUGACAUCUGGGACACUGCAGCCCCAGCAAAAUCCUCAGAUGCCACACAAUCAUCUGCCUAAUUUCGGUGGCGUAGGAAUGCCUCUUUCUUCAUCUUAUACAUUUACGACGUCUUAUGGCCAGCCACAACAUACAUUCAACACCCCAUCCCAAUAUCAACCAGCAUCUCAGAUGCAUGCACCUGUUAUGCCUGCAGUCGGACAACCUUGGUCUACACACGGGACUCAGAAUGUACCUCUUGUUACACAUUUAGUGCAGGCUGCAGCACAAUCUUCAGCUGCGGCAGGCACAGUUCCUACAACAAAUGCACAACCUAGCUCAGCUGAACAGGCCUCUUCUGAUUGGCAAGUGCACACAUCUGAUGAUGGAAAAAGAUAUUAUUACAAUAAGAAGACCAGACAGUCUAGCUGGGAGAAGCCCUUUGAGUUGAUGACACCUGUUGAGAGGGCCGAUGCUUCGACUGAUUGGAAGGAAUUCAGCACUCCAGAUGGACGAACAUACUAUUAUAACAAGGUCACAAAGGUAUCCAAAUGGAUAAUUCCUGAGGAGCUCAAGCUAGCUCGUGAACAAGCAUUAAGGGCUGCAGCUGCGCAGCCAUGUACAGAAACUGGUGCAGCUUCUGCUGUCCCAGCUGCUCCAGUUGUUUCGUCUGGGGAGAUCCCUCCUGCCACAGCUUCUGUGACUCCUGAAGCAACAUAUGCAGUAGUAUCAAGCCCAGUUUCAGUGUCAGCCAAUGCUAUUGUACCUCCAGGUGUGAUGGCUUCAGUAUCGCCAUCUGUUGCUGUUGUACCAUCUGCUGGAAUCCCUUCUAGUUCCUCUUUGGGAAUUCUAAACACAGUUGGCGCAUCAAAUCCUCAGACACCUGUAACUCCAUUACUGGCACCUGUUCCUGCAAAUACAGUGGUUCCUACUGUUGCAAUAGAAGCUGCAUUAUCUAAUGCAAAGAGUAAUCAUGACAAUUCCUCUCUUGUAAAUAUUGCAAGUUUGCCUGAUGGAGCUUCUGCUCAGGAUUUGGAGGAAGCUAAGAAGGGUAUGCCGGUUACUGGAAGAAGCAAUGCCGCUUCAUUGGAGGAGAAAACAAUUGAUGAAGAACCUUUUGUUUAUGCUAAUAAGCAGGAGGCAAAAAAUGCAUUCAAAACCCUACUGGAAUCUGCAAAUGUUGAAUCUGAUAUGACUUGGGAGCAGGCAAUGAGAGUUAUUAUUAGUGACAAGAGAUAUGGUGCGUUAAAGACACUUGGUGAGAGGAAACAAGCAUUUCAUGAGUACUUGGGGCAAAGGAAAAAACAGGAAGCUGAGGAACGGCGCAUUAAACAGAAGAAAGCACGAGAAGACUUCACCCGAAUGUUGGAAGAAUGUACAGAACUUACUUCGUCAACCCGGUGGAGUAAAGCUGUCACCAUGUUUGAGAAUGAUGAACGAUUUAAUGCUGUUGAGCGGGCAAGAGAUCGUGAGGAUCUAUUCGAAAGCUAUUUGCUGGAUCUCCUGAAGAAGGAAAGAGCAAAGGCUGCUGAGGAGCAUAAGCAAAACAUAAUGGACUAUAGAGCUUUUCUUGAAUCAUGUGACUUCAUUAAGGCAAACAGUCAAUGGAGGAAAGUUCAAGACCGGUUGGAGGAUGAUGAAAGAUGUUCUCGACUUGAAAAAAUUGAUCGUUUGGAGAUCUUCCAGGAGUAUAUACAUAAUUUGGAGAAGGAAGAGGAGGAGCAGCGAAAGAAACAGAAGGAGCAAUUAAGACGGCAGGAACGCAAAAACCGUGAUGAGUUUCGCAAGUUAAUGGAAGGACAUGUUGCUGCUGGAAUUCUUACAGCUAAAACUCACUGGCGUGAUUACUGUAUGCAGGUGAAGGAUUUGCCACCAUACAAAGCAGUAGCAUCAAACACAUCGGGUUCAACGCCAAAAGAUCUGUUUGAGGAUGUUGCAGAGGAACUUGACAAGCAGUACCAUGAAGACAAGGUCCAGAUCAAAGAAGCAAUCAAGAUCCAAAAGAUUGCUUUGGCAUCUUCAUGGAUGUUUGAAGACUUAAAGGUUGCCAUUUCGGCUGAUGAUAGCCUAAAAGGAAUAUCUGAGAUAAACAUGAAGCUUGUUUUUGAUGAGUUACUGGAAAGGCUUAGGGAGAAGGAGGAGAAAGAGGCUAAAAAGCACCAACGUCUUGCAGAUAAUUUCUCUGACUUGCUUUACUCAAUUAAGGAAAUAACUGCUUCAUCAGGAUGGGAGGACUGCAAAUCACUGUUUGAAGACACUCAAGAAUACAGGUCCAUUGGUGAUGAGAAUUUUGUGAGAGGGAUUUUUGAAGAACAUGUUGCCCGCUUGCGAGAAAAGUUGAAAGAGAAGGAGCGUAAGAGAGAAGAGGAAAAGGCAAAGAAAGAGAAAGAAAGAGAGGAAAAAGAGAAGAGGAAGGAGAAAGAAAGGAAAGAAAAGGAAGAAAGAAAGGAAAAAGAGAGAGAGCGUGAAAAAGACAAGGGAAAGGAUCGGUCUAGAAAAGAUGAAGCAGGGAGUGAAAAUGUUGAUAUGAUGGACAGCUAUGGCUCGAAGGAUAGAAAAAGGGAAAAGGAUAAGGAAAGAAAACAGCGAAAACAUCACCACAGCAUGGCUGAUGAUGUAAGCUCUGAAAAAGACGAGAAAGAGGAGUCUAAGAAGUCCCGCAGGUAUAGUGGUGACCGCAAGAAAUCACGGAAGCACUCUUACUCUAGUGAUUCAGAUAGUGAUAAUCGGCACAAGAGGCAUAAGAAAGAUCGAGAUGGCUCCCAUAGAAAUAAUGGUUACGAGGAGCUUGAGGAUGGGGAACUUGGAGAGGAUGGGGAAAUCUGUUGUUUGACUUUUGUUUAAUAAAUAAAAAGAUUGUGGCUAAUUGCUGGUAGCAGGGCCUUCUUCAAGAUUGCAAAUGAAUCUGGGAAGUAAAUGCAUUUAACGAUACUAGAUGCCUUUAUGUUUCCACUCAACCAUAUAUCAUUAUUUCUCUAUGUCGCUGUUAAGAAUCAUGUACCAGGUCACUGAGGCAAGAGAUUUCUACAUGUAAUCUGGUGAUGGGAUGCAUUCGUCUCACUGGUUGAAGACAUGCCUUCAGCAGCAUACUGUUCCAUGUAUCAUCAUUUCCUUGCUGUAUUCACCCUUGACAAGGUUUAGAAGGUACCUUGACAACCAUUUGUCUUGAUCGAAAAUCCUGAGAUGGUUGAGCCCCUUUGAGGUGAUUUUCUCAGGCCGCAGGAUAUUGCCGUUUGCUUCAGUACUAACUUUUGAGCUCGAUGCCAUACUUGCUUGGUGAUAAAACUAUAGUAUUUUGUGGGGCAACGCCGAUGCUUUUCACUUUGAUAGCCUUUGUAUGGUAUAUGUUAUCAAGCUCCUGGAGGUGUGAUGCAUCUUGGCUUAUCAGGUGGAGCUUUCAGAUGUCUCCUAUAUCUAUAUCCUAUUGUGGGAUCCAGAGUUCUGUAUAGCUACAGCAAUUGGUGGCAGUUGUUUCUUAGAUAUGGUCAGUUUUACUAAUUCUGAUAUAUAGAUGAAGUGAUGAGUAGGAUACUGCACCAGUUCUUUGAAUUUGUUUGCAUUUAUCCAAAUAUUAUGAGAUCUUUCUGAAAGUUAAUUUAUAUUUUUAAUAACCAAGCAGCUGGGUUUUGUUGCACUA